CAGAUUCCCAGUCUUCAAAAAGAAACCUCUGAGCCACACUGGGCUAUGGGGAGGGCACUUUUCCCAAUUUCCAGUCUAAAUGUCUUAGGAUAAGCCUUCCUCCCUGGAAGCCUGAAUUCAUUUCGAGGAUACCUCAGCACGUGUCCAUGUGGAGUGGAGACCCACCGGAAAGAAGAAAUUCUAACUUGACAGGCCGCCAAUCAGUGGGCAUCUCUACUUCUGGGCGCCAUCCCGUAGUAGACCAUUCGGCCAGGGCCCGAGAGUGGGCCUUUGUGCCCCUCUGCUCCCAGCCAGGUGCUCAGCACUAGAAGACAUCCCAUCUCGUAAUUCCACACAUUUUCACUGGAUGUCCUGAAUGCCUGGAAAUAUUUUAUCUUCACUUCCUGACUUCUAUGUCUUCCUUCAAGUUCCAGAAAAGAUAAAAGCUCGUAAUGGUCUCCUGAACUGAUAUUGAAAGCUGGGAGAGAACUUAGACAUCAUCUAGUCAGAAAUGAUCUGAAAAUGGAAGAGACCUCAGAGACCAUCUUAUCCAACCUUUUAAUUUUUGCAAGUGAAGAAAAUGGGAUCCAAGGGGUCACAAAUAGAAAACUUCCUACCCCAAAGCAAUAUUUGAACUUGGGGCCUCUGACUUCAUAGUCAAUGUUCUUUACAGUCUAUUGCAUGGCUCCCUACCUGCUCUAGACCUAUAGAAUAUUCUAUCAACAAAAAUAAGAUUUACUUUCAUUACCAUGGAAUGCACUGCUUUCAACAAGCUUUUAUGUUGUAAAAAUAAAAUUGCGAGCUAUAUAAAAUAAAAUAUUUCCAUUGAAAAACUGUUCCAAUAUAGGUUCAAAACUGUUUAAUUCACCAAUCAGGUUCAAACUGUUCAGAUACUUUUGAUAGAGGUAAUCAAAGGUAUCCUCAGUGAUGAAGUGAAGCUCAAAUGUGAACCUCCCUUCAGGACUAGGCACAAGGACGCUAAAGAGACUCUUAUAAAAUAACGUGUUUAUUAAAAUAUAUAAAGUUAAAUAAAGUAUUUCUAAUUCUAUGGGAUUCUAAAUCCACCCAAAUAAACUCCCAGGUUCCUCUUCUCCUGUGUUUCACAGGCUACACUAAUCCUC